rnacentral:rRNA from 1 species
UACGUAGGGUGCAAGCGUUGUCCGGAAUUAUUGCGCGUAAAGAGCUCGUAGGCGGUCUGUCGCGUCUGCUGUGAAAACUCAGGGCUUAACCCUGAGCUUGCAGUGGGUACGGGCAGACUAGAGUGCGGUAGGGGAGACUGGAAUUCCUGGUGUAGCGGUGAAAUGCGCAGAUAUCAGGAGGAACACCGGUGGCGAAGGCGGGUCUCUGGGCCGUAACUGACGCUGAGGAGCGAAAGCGUGGGGAGCGAACAGG